GCACUUUUAGGAGUUGGGGUCGGGCCUUGAGUUUUAAAUUGCACCCGAGAAGCCACAGAAAUGUUCCUGGCGACUUCAUUUAUUUUUAGAAACUGUUUCAUUUAUUUUAAAAUUUUAACUUUUGAUGAUAGUGAUUUACAAAACUUUAACAUUACAAGGGCCCAAGUACCAUGGCAGUGGAGGAAGCUCUGCUGAGUCAUUCUGGGGAUGUUUCCAGAUGUUAUCAUGAUGCCAACCUGACUCCUCUGGGUCCAAUACUCCCACCAGAGGGAUAAAGAAUAGCAAAGUUAUCAAGGGAGGGAAUGGGAUACUGAGUUCUGGUGGUGGGAACUGUACCCCUCUUAUCCUGUCAAUAUUUCCAUUUUAUAAAUAAAAAUAUUUAUAAUUUAAUUUGUUUAAUU